rnacentral:rRNA from 1 species
UACGUAGGGUGCAAGCGUUGUCCGGAAUUAUUGGGCGUAAAGAGCUCGUAGGCGGUCUGUCGCGUCGGCUGUGAAAACCCGGGGCUCAACCCCGGGCCUGCAGUCGAUACGGGCAGACUAGAGUGCGGUAGGGGAGACUGGAAUUCCUGGUGUAGCGGUGAAAUGCGCAGAUAUCAGGAGGAACACCGGUGGCGAAGGCGGUUCUCUGGGCAUGUCCUGACGCUGAGGAGCGAAAGUGUGGGGAGCGAACAGG